CUGGUUCCGGUUCACGUUCCCACCCGGCAAGGGUGUGACACACACAUCCUGCUGCAGUGCGCCGCACAGGGGGACGACCCGGCGACC
ncrna:unclassified sequences L31-Actinobacteria ribosomal protein leader